GAUGAACGCUGGCGGCGUGCUUAACACAUGCAAGUCGAACGGGAAAUAUUUCAUUGAGACUUCGGUGGAUUUGAUUUAUUUCUAGUGGCGGACGGGUGAGUAACGCGUGGGUAACCUGCCUUAUACAGGGGGAUAACAGUCAGAAAUGGCUGCUAAUACCGCAUAAGCGCACAGAGCUGCAUGGCUCAGUGUGAAAAACUCCGGUGGUAUAAGAUGGACCCGCGUUGGAUUAGCUGGUUGGUGGGGUAACGGCCCACCAAGGCGACGAUCCAUAACCGGCCUGGUAGGGUGACCGGCCACAUUGGGACUGCGACCCGGCCCCGACUCCUACGGGAGGCAGCAGUGGGGAAUAUUGCACACUGGGGGAAACCCUGAUGCAGCGACGCCGCGUGAAGGGAGAAGUAUCUCGGUAUGUACACUUCUAUCAGCAGGGAAGAUAGUGACGGUACCUGACGAAGAAGCCCCGGCUAACUACGUG
rnacentral:rRNA from 1 species